AAGGGCGUAUGGGGGAUGCCUAGGCUCUCAGAGGCGAUGAAGGCGUGAUAAGCUGCGAAAAGCUGCGGGGACGGGCACACACCGAUUGAUCCGCAGAUACCGAAUGGGGCAACCCACUAUGUUGAAGACAUAGUACACCGAUAGGUGGGCAA
rnacentral:rRNA from 1 species